rnacentral:lncRNA from 1 species
CUUUAAGUAAAAGCCACAGGCACUUCUCAGCCUUUCGGCGGCGGCAAGGUGAGGUGCCCUCUGUUCUGUUGUGUGGCGGAGCAGGCCCGGGACGUGGGUGGGAGGCUUUCAGCCAGCCGUGAUGACAUUCCAAAUAAAGCACGUGUUAGACUGCUGACGCUGGUGAUGCGAACUGUAGUCUGAGCCGGCUGUCGCGGCGGUGGGUGAGGAAGGGCGGGCGGGUUCACUCCCUCUGACCCACUGCUGUUGCUUUUGCAGGUCUGGCCUUGCGGAGGACGUCGGAUUUAAUCGAUAAUUUCAGCGCUUCCGCACUCCCUAAUUUCCAACCUUCUCAAUAAAAUGAUUUGACCCAGAGCUGGUGUGUGUGUCUCCCUCAUUGGCGA